rnacentral:lncRNA from 1 species
UUUGGAUGUGUGUUACAGAUAAUGGCUUCUUUUUGUUGGAUAGUUUGGAUGUGUGUUAUUUAUUUCUUUUUAUUUCAAGCUAUUUAAUUACCAUAUUUUUAUGAAUACUAGGGGUAAACUGUAUUUGUUUUAAUGAUCAGCAUUUAAGAUACAAAGCAUUUCAAAAUAAUGUUAAAGUAAAUCAUUAAUUGUGAGCAGUUCUGGAAAACCACACAAGUACCUUUUGGUAAGGAAGGACAGGCAAUUUGUUUUUUGUCCAAUUUCAUGAUCAGAUCUUGAACAAUUCAUUCGGUCGUUUCUGUGUAAUAGA